AAAUGAGAAGAAAUCUCGAAGGAAAAUCCGACGAGGAAGUAGAGUUGCCUGCGCAGGAUGUCGCACACAACAAAUGCAGGAUGUGCGCACCGCGUGCAAGUCCCAUCCUACAGCACGCCCGCACGGGACGUGCGCACAGUGUGCACGCGCGCACAUCCCUUCCGCACACACGACACGAGGAUAAGUCCUGCGCAUAAGCUGGUCAUUCGUGUGUCACCUCACGUGCAGACAAGUGCUGCACACUGUGCAC
rnacentral:lncRNA from 1 species